rnacentral:rRNA from 1 species
GUGCAUAUUCUAGAGCUUAAAUCAUCGUGCUGCUAUAUAAAAAUAAUUACUUUCAAAUCCACUUUAAUAAAACCAUCUCAGGCCCUAAACCAUAUAAAUAAAUUUAUUGUAACCCAUUUCUUCUUAAUUACAGCUGCAUCUUGAUCUGAUUUUCUUUUUUGUAAAACACAGUGAACAUUAUUUUUCUAAUAAAACACUCAACGACGACGAUAUACAAGCUAAAACCAAGUAAAAUUAAUCGUGGAUCAUCAAUUACAGAACAGGUUCCUCUGAAAAGACUAAAAUACCGCCAAAAUCUUUAAUUUUCAAGAACAUAGCUAAUAUUAAUCCGGUAAAAACUUUACAUUCAAAAUAAUACG